CAACCUAGUUGUUCGGCGCUUCUCAAUAAGAACUUGGGUCUUUAAGGGCUUCGGCUCUUGUUGGCCCCGUUACUUUGAGCAAAUUGGAGUGCUCCAGGCAGGCUAUCGCUUGAACAGCUCAGCAUGGAAUAACAAGAUACGACUUUGGUCUUUCUUGUUGGUGACAUGGACUAAAGUAAUGAUUGAUAAGGACAUAUGGGGGCGUCUGUACUCGCUGGAGAGAGGUGAAAUUCUAAGACCCAGCGAAGACAAACAAGUGCGAAAGCAUUCGCCCAAUGUGUUCCUGUUAAUCAAGGACGAAAGUUGGGGGAUCGAAGACGAUUAGAUACCGUCGUAGUCUCAACUAUAAACUAUGCCGACUGAGGAUCGGAGGUCGUACCAUUACAACUCCUUCGGCACUCCAAGAGAAAUCUAAGUCUCUGGGCCCUGGGGGGAGUAUGGUCGCAAGGCUGAAACUUAAAGGAAUUGACGGAAGGGCACCACCAGGAGUGGAGCCUGCGGCUUAAUUUGACUCAACGCGGGGAACCUCACCAGGCCCGGACAUAGUCAUGAUUGACAGAUUGAGAGUUCUUUCUCGAUUCUAUGGGUGGUGGUGCAUGGCCGUUCUUAGUCGGUGAGGUGACUUGUCUGGUUAAUUCCGAUAACGGACGAGACCUCGACCUACUAAUUAGCUGAUGCUUACUCGUAAGCUUUCAGCUUCUUAGAGGGACUUUGUG
rnacentral:rRNA from 1 species